CGGGGUGCAGCAGGCGCGAAAACUUUACAAUGCGGGAAACCGUGAUAAGGGGACACCGAGUGCCAGCAUCAUAUGCUGGCUGUCCGGGUGUGUAAAAUACACCCGUUAGCAAGGGCCGGGCAAGACCGGUGCCAGCCGCCGCGGUAACACCGGCGGCCCGAGUGGUGAUCGUGAUUAUUGGGUCUAAAGGGUCCGUAGCCGGUUUGGUCAGUCCUCCGGGAAAUCUGAUAGCUCAACUAUUAGGCUUUCGGGGGAUACUGCCAGGCUUGGAACCGGGAGAGGUAAGAGGUACUACAGGGGUAGGAGUGAAAUCUUGUAAUCCCUGUGGGACCACCUGUGGCGAAGGCGUCUUACCAGAACGGGUUCGACGGUGAGGGACGAAAGCUGGGGGCACGAACCGGAUUAGAUACCCGGGUAGUCCCAGCCGUAAACGAUGCUCGCUAGGUGUCAGGCAUGGCGCGACCGUGUCUGGUGCCGCAGGGAAGCCGUGAAGCGAGCCACCUGGGAAGUACGGCCGCAAGGCUGAAACUUAAAGGAAUUGGCGGGGGAGCACAAGGGAAAUUC
rnacentral:rRNA from 1 species